GAAAGGACAUGGCUGAAGUUGUGCAGAACAAGGUUAUGCAGUUUCUGAAUGGGAGAAAUGGAGAAUUGAAGCUUCGUUUUGAGAGAGAGUUAAAGGCUGGGAAAUUUAGCGGUUUUCAUGCUGAAUGUCUCACUGAUACUUGGAUUGGAAAUCACAGGUGGGCAUUUAUUGAUUUGACUGCGGGCCCUUUUUCAUGGGGACCUGCUGUGGGUGGAGAAGGUGUGCGCACAGAACUAAGUUUACCAAAUGUGGAGAAAACCAUCGGUGCGGUUGCAGAAAU
rnacentral:misc_RNA from 1 species